rnacentral:rRNA from 1 species
GACGAACGCUGGCGGCGUGCUUAACACAUGCAAGUCGAGCGGUAAGGCCCUUUCGGGGGUACACGAGCGGCGAACGGGUGAGUAACACGUGGGUGACCUGCCCUCAGCUCUGGGAUAAGCCUGGGAAACCGGGUCUAAUACUGGAUAUGACUCCAUGACGCAUGUUGUGGGGUGGAAAGCCUUGUGCGGCUGAGGAUGGGCCCGCGGCCUAUCAGCUUGUUGGUGGGGGUGA